GCCUUUGUGGUGUAAUGGUCAGCACGCUCGGCGUGUAUUCGAGAGGUCCGAGGUUCGAGUCCCGGCGAGGGCA
rnacentral:tRNA from 1 species